rnacentral:rRNA from 1 species
UGAGGAAUAUUGCACAAUGGCGGAAACUCUGAUGCAGCAACGCCGCGUGGAGGAUGACGCAUUUCGGUGUGUAAACUCCUUUUAAGAGGGAAGAUAAUGACGGUACCUCUUGAAUAAGCACCGGCUAACUCCGUGCCAGCAGCCGCGGUAAUACGGAGGGUGCAAGCGUUACUCGGAAUCACUGGGCGUAAAGGGUGCGUAGGCUGGCUUCUAAGUCAGAUGUGAAAUCCAAUGGCUUAACCAUUGAACUGCAUUUGAAACUGGAAGCCUAGAGUUCAGAAGGGGCAGAUGGAAUUAGUGGUGUAGGGGUAAGAUCCGUAGAUAUCACUAGGAAUAUCAAAAGCGAAGGCGAUCUGCUGGGAUGAUACUGACGCUGAGGCACGAAAACGUGGGGAGCAAACAG